rnacentral:lncRNA from 1 species
AAGCUUUGAAGGGGAAGUGGGCCUGGACUGCUGCCUUUGCAUUUUAUUCCAACCAUAUCCAGAAGCUGGCUGCAGUCUAAAUGUGGUUCACCAAAAAGCAAGAUAAAUACUUUUUGUCUGUUUAGCUAAUGCGUGUCAAGGCCCAGAUCUUAAAAUAUAGUGACAAAGUAUUUUGAAAACACUAAUUACCUGCUAAGUAAUUCUUGAAAGGCUGUUGGGCUCUGUUACAGAAUCACAUUUUGCAAGUGAAGAAUAUAAUUUGUACUUGUUGUUACUGGCAGGGUGGCUGAACUAACCUCAGUAUUCACCAUGCUGUAAAUGCAAUGAGGUCACUUGUAUGUCUCCAGGAAUAUUUCUUCGUCUUUAAGCCGUGUAUUAUUUGGCAUCUGUUGAAAGAUGUAGACAUUUGUAUUUUAGUGUUAAAGGACCCCCCA